rnacentral:rRNA from 1 species
CUACGUGCCAGCAGCCGCGGUAAUACGUAGGGCGCGAGCGUUGUCCGGAAUUAUUGGGCGUAAAGAGCUUGUAGGCGGUUUGUCGCGUCUGCUGUGAAAGGCCGGGGCUUAACCCCGUGUAUUGCAGUGGGUACGGGCAGACUAGAGUGCAGUAGGGGAGACUGGAACUCCUGGUGUAGCGGUGGAAUGCGCAGAUAUCAGGAAGAACACCGAUGGCGAAGGCAGGUCUCUGGGCUGUAACUGACGCUGAGAAGCGAAAGCAUGGGGAGCGAACAGGAUUAGAUACCCUGGUAGUCCACGCCGUAAACGAUGUCAAUUAGCUGUUGGGCAACUUGAUUGCUUAGUAGCGUAGCUAACGCGUGAAAUUGACCGCCUGGGGAGUACGGUCGCAAGAUUAAAACUCAAAGGAAUUGACGGGGACCCGCACAAGCGGUGGAUGAUGUGGAUUAAUUCGAUGCAACGCGAAGAACCUUACCUGGUCUUGACAU